rnacentral:rRNA from 1 species
GACGAACGCUGGCGGCGUGCUUAACACAUGCCAGUCGAACGGAAAGGCCCUGCUUUUGUGGGGUGCUCGAGUGGCGAACGGGUGAGUAACACGUGAGUAACCUGCCCUUGACUUUGGGAUAACUUCAGGAAACUGGGGCUAAUACCGGAUAGGAGCUCCUGCUGCAUGGUGGGGGUUGGAAAGUUUCGGCGGUUGGGGAUGGACUCGCGGCUUAUCAGCUUGUUGGUGGGGUAGUGGCUUACCAAGGCUUUGACGGGUAGCCGGCCUGAGAGGGUGACCGGCCACAUUGGGACUGAGAUACGGCCCAGACUCCUACGGGAGGCAGCAGGGGGGAAUAUUGCACAAUGGGCGGAAGCCUGAUGCAGCAACGCCGCGUGCGGGAUGACGGCCUUCGGGGUGGAAACCGCUUUCGCCUGUGACGAAGCGUGAGUGACGGUAAUGGGUAAAGAAGCACCGGCUAACUACGUG